CCUACGGGCGGCUGCAGUGAGGAAUAUUGGUCAAUGGGCGGAAGCCUGAACCAGCCACGUAGCGUGCAGGAUGACGGCCCUACGGGUUGUAAACUGCUUUUAUACGGGAAUAACGCGCCUUACGUGUAGGGCUUUGCAUGUACCGUAUGAAUCAGGACAGGCUAAUUCCGUUCCAGCAGCCGCGGUAAUACGGAAGGUCCGGGCGUUACCCGGAUUGAUUGGGGUUAAAGGGAGCGUAGGCCGCAUGUCAAGCGUGCUGUGAAAUGUCCGGGCUCAACCCGGGCCGUGCAGCGCGAACUGGCGUGCUUGAGUCCGCGGAAGGCAGGCGGAAUUCGUCGUGUAGCGGUGAAAUGCUUAGAUAUGACGAAGAACCCCGAUGGCGAAGGCAGCUUGCUGCAGCGGAACUGACGCUGAGGCUCGAAAGCGCGGGUAUCGAACAGGAUUAGAUACCCGUGUAGUC
rnacentral:rRNA from 1 species